UACGGAGGAUCCAAGCGUUAUCCGGAUUUAUUGGGUUUAAAGGGUGCGUAGGCGGGAUAAUAAGUCAGUGGUGAAAGUCUGGCAGCUUAACUGUAGAAUUGCCAUUGAUACUGUUAUUCUUGAGUGUAGUUGAAGUAGGCGGAAUGUGUAGUGUAGCGGUGAAAUGCUUAGAUAUUACACAGAACACCGAUUGCGUAGGCAGCUUACUAAGCUACAACUGACGCUGAGGCACGAAAGCGUGGGGAUCAAACAGG
rnacentral:rRNA from 1 species